GGAGCGGACCGGGUGAUCGCCGGCCCCGGCAUCCCGGCGUGGCUUCGGCCGCUCCGGAGACCGGCGGCGGGAGGAAAGUCCGGGCUCCGCAGGGUUCGAUGGUGGGUAACGCCCACCGGCCGCGAGGUCAGGGACAGUGCCACAGAGAACAGACCGCCGGCGGGGUUCGCCCCGCCGGUAAGGGUGAAACGGUGAGGUAAGAGCUCACCAGCAGGCCGGGUGACCGGUCUGGCUCGGCAAACCCCAUCGGGAGCAAGGCCAAGCAGGAAGAAGAUCGUCCCCCGAGGACGGCGCGAGGCGACCCGUCUCGCACCCGCUUCCGGGUCGGCUGCUGGAGGUUCCGGGCAACCGGGACCCUAGAGAAAUGGUCGCCUGCCCGCAUCCGCGGGCACAGAACCCGGCUUACAGGUCCGCUCCAGUC
rnacentral:RNase_P_RNA from 1 species